rnacentral:rRNA from 1 species
CUUUUAUUAAACAAAAACCAAUACAAAAUUAAAAACUAACUUCAUCAAAAACCAAGUCUCUAAGCAAUGGAUGUCUUGGCUCCUCACACGAUGAAGAACGUGGCAUAAUGUGUUAAGUAACCGGAGUUGCAAACAUCAUGACAGGUUAAUCUUUGAAUGCAAAUUGCGCUAAACUCGAUCUCGGUCGAGAAGCAUGGGUGUGACAGUACUACAUCUUUUAUAAUAAUUCUUAUUCUAAGCGAAUAAGUAAAUAAUAUAUAAGACAAACAACACGUAGUCUGCCAUACGCAGGAAGACCCGCUGAACUGAAGCAUCUCAUUAAGCGG